rnacentral:rRNA from 1 species
GUAAGGAAUAUUGGUCAAUGGACGAAAGUCUGAACCAGCCAUGCCGCGUGAAGGAUGAAGGUCCUCUGGAUUGUAAACUUCUUUUCUCUGGGGCGAAAAAAGCCUUUUCUAGGGCACUUGACAGUACCAGAGGAAUAAGCACCGGCUAACUCCGUGCCAGCAGCCGCGGUAAUACGGAGGGUGCAAGCGUUAUCCGGAUUCACUGGGUUUAAAGGGUGCGUAGGCGGGCAGGUAAGUCAGUGGUGAAAUCCCCAGGCUCAACUUGGGAACUGCCGUUGAUACUAUCUGUCUUGAAUAUCGUGGAGGUGAGCGGAAUAUGUCAUGUAGCGGUGAAAUGCUUAGAUAUGACAUAGAACACCCAUUGCGAAGGCAGCUCACUACACGGUAAUUGACGCUGAGGCACGAAAGCGUGGGGAGCAAACAGGAUUAGAAACCCCAGUAGUCC